rnacentral:rRNA from 1 species
GACGAACGCUGGCGGCGUGCUUAACACAUGCAAGUCGAACGGAAAGGCCCCUUUGGGGUUACUCGAGUGGCUAACGGGUGAGUAACACGUGAGUAACCUGCCCUUGACUUCGGGGUAACUUCAGGAAACUGGGGCUAAUACCGGCUAGGAAUCCUUGCUGCAUGGUGGGGGUUGGAAAGAUUCGGCGGUUUUGGAUGGACUCGCGGCUUAUCAGCUUGUUGGAGGGGUAGUGGCUUACCAAGGCUUUGACGGGUAGCCGGCCUUAGAGGGCGACCGGCCACAUUGGGACUGAGAGACGGCCCAGACGCCUACGGGAGGCAGCAGUGGGGAAUAUUGCACAAUGGGCGGAAGCCUGAUGCAGCAACGCCGCGUGCGGGAUGACGGCCUUCGGGUUGUAAACCGCUUUCAGCAGGGGCGAAGCUUGUGGUGACGGUACCUGAAGAAGAAGCACCGGCUAACUACGUG